rnacentral:rRNA from 1 species
UACGAAGGGGGGCUAGCGUUGUUCGGAAUUACUGGGCGUAAAGCGCACGUAGGCGGACAUUUAAGUCAGGGGUGAAAUCCCAGAGCUCAACUCUGGAACUGCCUUUUGAUACUGGGUGUCUUGAGUAUGGAAGAGGUGAGUGGAAUUCCGAGUGUAGAGGUGAAAUUCGUAGAUAUUCGGAGGAACACCAGUGGCGAAGGCGGCUCACUGGUCCAUUACUGACGCUGAGGUGCGAAAGCGUGGGGAGCAAACAGG